AACGAACGCUGGCGGCAUGCCUAACACAUGCAAGUCGAACGAAGGCUUCGGCCUUAGUGGCGCACGGGUGCGUAACGCGUGGGAAUCUGCCCCUCGGUUCGGAAUAACAGUUAGAAAUGACUGCUAAUACCGGAUGAUGACUUCGGUCCAAAGAUUUAUCGCCGAGGGAUGAGCCCGCGUAAGAUUAGGUAGUUGGUGGGGUAAAGGCCUACCAAGGCGACGAUCAGUAGCUGGUCUGAGAGGACGAUCAGCCACACUGGGACUGAGACACGGCCCAGACUCCUACGGGAGGCAGCAGUGGGGAAUAUUGGACAAUGGGCGAAAGCCUGAUCCAGCAAUGCCGCGUGAGUGAUGAAGGCCUUAGGGUUGUAAAGCUCUUUUACCAGGGAUGAUAAUGACAGUACCUGGAGAAUAAGCUCCGGCUAACUCCGUGCCAGCAGCCGCCGUAA
rnacentral:rRNA from 1 species